GUUGGAAACAUGUUUGUGAGUUGUUUUGCAAGUAGUACAUGUAUCAUUGAGAAGCAAAAAGUGACGAUAAGGAUCGGUAUUUGUUUUGAUUUUAAAGUCUUUUCCUUGAUGAUUAUAACGUAAACGACGUUCUACUAAAGCUCCAGUCAAAAAAAUUCGCGUUAAGGUGCCUUUCCACCAUGCUUGAAUUUUAGACGCAGCUGCAUCACGUUUUCUCUAAUAAAAUAUUUCAACACGAUCAAUCAAAAGAAAAUGAAAGUCUUAUGAUAUUAAGGACUAUCUUCAUUCUUAACUGGCAAUGCAAUUUUCUCGUCCUCUACAACAGAUUCAUUUUUCUUUUGUAACAUGUUCGCCCCAUUGGUUUUCCCUUAUUCAAUGUUACCUUUGCUUUCUAAAAGUUUUUCUGUAUCUUCCUUGAAAGGAACAGAUUUUUUUAGUUCAUUGACAUUGAUAGAUGAAAAAACAUUUGCCUUGCGUGUUUUUCGCGGUAAAAGUUUUUUUUCACCAGUGCCUAACGGAUAACGUUCUUCAGCUAUCGGAGGCUCACUUGACACUUUAGGUUCUUUCGUUAUCUCAGGUUGACCCAACAUCGCACUCGAAGGCAGCCUGCUUUAAUCAUUUACUAUAAUUAAGCAGUCAGUGGUGUUCGUUGAAUCUAUAAGUUUUGAAUUUCCUUGAAAGGAAUCUUGGAUAUAAAAUAUUUACAAGAAAGUUUCUUGACAUUUAAUUUUUUGAAGGGUCACAAAAAGCAAAUAUCAUGCUGAUUACCUUGUUUUACAUGAGUUUGCGUCGUAGGGAAUGGUUUCUGAGAGAGAGUUUCUUCUUGUGAAAAAAUAAGAGGAAGUUUAUUCUCUACAUGAAAGUCGAGUAGGUGACAUAUAAUAGCGAAAGUUUUCUUUUAAUAUUAAAGGCAUAUAAAAAGAUUUACCUUGUACGAUGUCUUCGUUGACGAGAUCGUUUGAAAAGCUUUUAAACCAUGUACCGCUUGUAGCGUUUUUCAUG